UUGUACAAUGGGGAUGAAUAAGCUAUCUGCCUCCAAGGGCUACUGUGAGGAUCAUGUGGGAUCAUGCAGGGCCUUCUCAGCAGCCUUCUACCUCUUGGGCCUUGAUCCAGUCUUCUAGGGAAAAAGAUGGAUGAAGGCCCAUGGGAAGAUACAGCCAAGCAGGCACCAGAUGGAAGCACCGGUGGCAGAAUAUUAACUAUCAAUUUCUGGGCAAGAGGAAGAGACAUCUAGUUCCCCUGCGCCCGUGAGAGCCGGGAUCUGGGGAGUCCAGCUUCAGGUUCAUCACAUGAAGGUCCCGAGGCUGAUUGAUGCCGAGCCAGGAUGAGCAGGAAGAUGUCCUGGGAACACUGCACAAGCCUGUGUCCCUCUCUGUGGGUGAAGGUUCUCUACUUUUGCCCUCUCCCCUGGGAUCUCCAUGUUUCUGCCCCUCACUGCCCAAAUAAAGCAGUUUUCACCCCUC